UUUUUGGUCCUGAAGAUCGCAUUGAACAACCUGGAGAGCCACUCCACUCCUGACCUACCCAUGUAUUUCCAGAACUCUACCGGGAUCUCGUCAGGCCGGGUCGCUCGACCCCUACUCAUCCUACGCAAAGCCCCCAUGACCUCCUCCGCCCUAAUGCGACUGCAGUACCCAAGGUCUCUAUGUUGCUCUCAAUGUCCCAACUCCCCUAGCUCUAUGUUACGAUCCCCCUCCUCGUUAAGUAAGUCUCGAAAGUACGCCUGCCUCCUCUGCUUGACUUGAGACUCCCCAUCAGAACUCUACCUUCCUCGCCCUUGAUGCACCUAACUUGGUCAAGAUCACGUGCCUUCCUUUCCCUUGCUUUAGCUAACCGGAAUAACUUCUUGUCCCCGCAUGUCUCCCCUAGUUCCUCGUACAUGCGACCAAAUGCUGCGUUUUUAGCUUCC
rnacentral:lncRNA from 1 species